rnacentral:tRNA from 1 species
GGUCUGAUAGUGUAGUGGUAAGCACGCCAGAUUUUGACAGGCUUGUGGAUCACGCAGUGAUAUGGCUCUUGAAGUUCUGGUGGCCUUGGUUCGAUCCCAAGUCAGACCU